UGAUGCUCCUCCACACCUGAGACUGCAUUGCCUCCCACCGCUCCCAUGGCCACAGCCUCCUCUCGCCGGCCCCCUCUGCAUCCACAGCCCGGCAGCCCUCUCUACACCCAUGUGCCAAACCCUAACAUCAGGUAGUGAGAGGCCCUAAAAUCCCAAAGGUGUCAUAGGGGAAGUCAGAAAAGUGUUGAAGACUCUACUUCCUGCAAACACGAGGUUCUCUCCGCAGUUCUCAUGGUAAAGAAGGUUCAGAAGGGGAAGCAGGACAAGAGAGUAAACUCCACUGAAAGCCAUCUGGCUGGUGUGUGCCAGUCCCAUUGCUGGAAGGUAAUGGCAUUGAAUCCUGGUCUGCUGUGCUUUCUGCUUUGCCGCGAGAAUCCCCAAAGACCAUUUUCUUGCUGCCGUAGAAGACCUGGUGCUUUCGAUUUU